GUUAAGGGGGUUGUUGUCUGGCUCGGUGUCUCCGGUCGGGAUCGAUUGAUAUCUUCCGGCCUUGCCGGAGCUGUCGACCGGAGAUUUCGGACCAGGCUUCAAUCCCUUUAAC
rnacentral:pre_miRNA from 2 species